UCCCCAGAGCCUUACAUUCGGCUCUUGUCUUCUCUUAUAUUCUCUUUGCUGGCUUCCACGUCUGUAUAUUUGUCUAGAGUCCAUUGCCUUGACUUCUACACUGUUUCAUCCAACUGUCUGAAUGCCGCCUGAAGACACAAGAUGACGAGAGUGCCCCAAGUUGAUGGUGAUGUUCCAGGCAUCCGGGCUCUGAUGCCCCUGAGCCGUGGUGACAGCCCUCGAGGGGCCAAAGGUGGCCAAGCACAGUUCUGGAAGGGUGUGACUGAGCCUGUGUUGGGAGGGGUGGUAAUCACCGGAGCUGGAAGAGAAAGAGGCAAGUGUUGCUGUCAUCGGGAUUUGAAUGGGUUGAAAGAGCCAUCCAGAAACGCUGGUAAGACAAAGAAUUUGAAAGGGAGAAAGUAUGAAUGCCAAAUAAAGAGAAGCCCUUGAAAUGUGGCCAAAGACCUAUAUUAUAUGGAGAAAUAUCAGAAGCUAGUAUUUCGAACAGGAUGCUAUUAAUAUUUUAUUUCCAUCAGAAGCGUCAUGAAAAAGGAAGGACUUUUGAGGUCAGGGUUGUAGCACUGAUCAACGGCACGACUUGCUUCUCUUUUCUUACUUAUAUUCAAUGAAAACAGCUACGCCCGCACUCGAGGUUUCUCUGAAGAUUCUCAGGGUCAGCGCAUCAAAACCUGUGCUAUCCCAAUAUACUGGUGGCAAAAACCAAAAACCAAAACAAAGCGAAAAAGCAAACAAACCCAAGCCCAAACCACACCAAACAGACGCCUGGCCUUUGGCAGGCUCCGGGCGCACUCACUCUAUGACUUGGGGCAGAGUCCCUCGUCUUCCUACAUCAGAGUUUGUUCAUCUGCGAAGAACGGUACCAACGCACGGAGUUGCCACGAAGAUAAGAUCAUAUGGUCCACAAACGACUCCGUGCCUGGCUCAUCAUAAGCCCUGAAUUAAGCACGGCCAAAGCCACAAGAGGAUAUAUUGCAGAAGUUCCUAUCGCAAACACAGAGAAAACCCGUGAGAAAAAUUAGACGCUCUUCCUUGUAAAUAUACGCUUGCCCGCUUUAAAGUAACGUGUAUAGGGUUAAUUCGAGGAAUGCAGUUGUCACUAAGGAUUCUGAUCUUAUGGCCCAAGUAUUUUUCCUAGCCCAUAUACCUGCAGCUGAACUUUAUUAAGACGAUUUCAGAAGUAGAUUAAUCAAUGCGAACUCGUCUCUCUUCAUUGUAUAUUGAUCGAUCUGCCAUUUACUAUGAAAAUGAGGCAGGAUUUAUAUACCGUGUACAUGUACCUAGUGUUACCUCACUUAAUCCUCUCAAGAUUUAUGUCAAAUAGGGUCUCAGUUUUUAUUUCGGUAGAUGAAGAAACGGAUUAAAACUGCGUCCAGGGGCCUAGAGCUGAGGACUCUACCCAUCCUGUGUACGUGGAAACUACGCCUCCUUCUUCACUCUCUGGAGGAAGUCGGCUUCCCCGAUGGAACCAAGAUAUUCCUGCUAGGGGCUAAACAUGUACACGCACUGCCAUAGGACAAAAUGCUCUAUAAGUGAAUGACCUAGACUUCUGCCUUGAGGAGCAAGUCGGGCUGGAUUGGAAGAAAGCCCUGACAUCACUUAGACAAACUAUGUUCCUGGGAAGCAGGCCACAGACGGAAUCUGAGUAUGUUCCCACCUUCCUAGAGUACCGUGGAUCGGAUAAGUGCUCAGUACUACUGAUUGAAUUGAAUUCGUUUGACAAAAUAGAAUUAAAAAAAAAAAAAAAA